rnacentral:tRNA from 1 species
UCUCUGGUAGUAUAUCGGAUAGUACAGCCGCCUGUCACGCGGCAGAGCUGGGUUCGACUCCCAGCCAGAGAG